rnacentral:sRNA from 15 species
ACAGUCUGGUAUCGAUGGCGAUACCGGUGAAAACCGGUAUACGGGGGUAAUCUGACACCGUCAGGACGGCAUCUGCCGCGAACGGCUCUGCGAGCCGGGGCACCCCGCAAUAACUCAGCACACCUUCACCCCGGUGCGCAGAUAUCAGCUG